GAUCCGGCUCAGGAUGAACGCUAGCGGCAGGCUUAACACAUGCAAGUCGAGGGGCAGCACGAGGUAGCAAUACUUUGGUGGCGACCGGCGCACGGGUGCGUAACGCGUAUGCAACCUACCUUUAACAGGGGCAUAACACUGAGAAAUUGGUACUAAUUCCCCAUAACAUUCGAGAAGGCAUCUUCUUGGGUUAAAAACUCCGGUGGUUAAAGAUGGGCAUGCGUUGUAUUAGCUGGUUGGUGAGGUAACGGCU
rnacentral:rRNA from 1 species